CACUGUCGCCAGGGGAGCCCCAAUGGGGCUGAGAAUGCGCGCAACGCAGACCCUGGAACCUGAUCCGGUUCGUACCGGCGGAGGAAGCGCGACAUGCCUUACCU
rfam:Halomonas sp. STBG004 Ion019_assembly_c5, whole genome shotgun sequence.